UACGUAGGGGGCUGGCGUUGUCCGGAAUCAUUGGGCGUAAAGAGCGUGUAGGCGGCCCGGUAAGUCCGCUGUAAAAGUCAAAGGCUCAACCUUUGAAUGUCAGUGGAUACUGCCGGGCUAGAGUCCGGAAGAGGCGAGUGGAACUCCUGGUGUAGCGGUGGAAUGCGCAGAUAUCAGGAAGAACACCAACGGCGAAGGCAGCUCGCUGGGACGGUACUGACGCUGAGACGCGAAAGCGUGGGGAGCAAACAGG
rnacentral:rRNA from 1 species